AGCAAGAAACAACUAUGAAAAUGCAGAUUUUUUUUUUUUUGAAAUGAAUGCACAAAAUCUAAAAAUGGAAAGUGGAGCUGGGGAAUGAAUGCAAACACGUUUUUCUUUUCUUUUUAUGGAUGAAAUGAAUCAAACUAGACAACAGGUCGUCUCCUAUCUCAAUUCUUUAUGGCUUUUCAAUUUAUGAUGAACAAAGAACACAAAAAUGCAAAAACAGUUUUUUUUUUUUUUU
rnacentral:lncRNA from 1 species